UACGAAGGGGGCUAGCGUUGCUCGGAAUCACUGGGCGUAAAGCGCACGUAGGCGGCUUUCUAAGUCAGGGGUGAAAUCCUGGAGCUCAACUCCAGAACGGCCUUUGAUACUGGAGAGCUUGAGUCCGGAAGAGGUGAGUGGAACUCCGAGUGUAGAGGUGAAAUUCGUAGAUAUUCGGAAGAACACCAGUGGCGAAGGCGGCUCACUGGUCCGGUACUGACGCUGAGGUGCGAAAGCGUGGGGAGCAAACAGG
rnacentral:rRNA from 1 species